ACACACACACGUCAUAACAUCACACACACUGACUGGAUAUCAAUAAACAAAGCAUUGUAAUUAAUAGGACAGCGUGUUUCUCCGAACUGACCUCGUUACAGGCUAAGUUAUUUAGGAAUUCCCCUCGUUACAGGCUAAGUUAUUUAGGUGUUCCCCUCGUUACAGGCUAAGUUAUUUAGGUGUUCCCCUCGUUACAGGCUAAGUUAUUUAGGUGUUCCCCUCGUUACAGGCUAAGUUAUUUAGGUGUUCCCCUCGUUACAGGCUAAGUUAUUUAGGUGUUCCCCUCGUUACAGGCUAAGUUAUUUAGGUGUUCCCCUCGUUACAGGCUAAGUUAUUUAGGUGUUCCCCUCGUUACAGGCUAAGUUAUUUAGGUGUUCCCCUCGUUACAGGCUAAGUUAUUUAGGUGUUUCCCCUCGUUCCAGGCUGUUCAUCAGGUGUUUCUCUCGUUCCAGACUGUUCAUCAGGUGUUUCCCCUCGUUCCAGGCUGUUCAUCAGGUGUUUCUCUCGUUCCAGGCUGUUCAUCAGGUGUUCCCUCGUUCCAGGCUGUUCAUUAGGUGUUUCCCCUCGUUCCAGGCUGUUCAUUAGGUGUUUCUCUCGUUCCAGGCUGUUCAUCAGGUGUUUCUCUCGUUCCAGGCUGUUCAUCAGGUGUUUCCCCUCGUUCCAGCCUGUUCAUUAGGUGUUUCCCCUCGUUACAGGCUGUUCAUUAGGUGUUUCUCUCGUUCCAGGCUGUUCAUCAGGUGUUUCCCCUCGUUCCAGGCUGUUCAUCAGGUGUUUCUCUCGUUCCAGGCUGUUCAUUAGGUGUUUCUCUCGUUCCAGGCUGUUCAUUAGGUGUUUCUCUCGUUCCAGGCUGUUCAUUAGGUGUUUCUCUCGUUCCAGGCUGUUCAUUAGGUGUUUCUCUCGUUCCAGGCUGUUCAUUAGGUGUUUCUCUCGUUCCAGGCUGUUCAUUAGGUGUUUCUCUCGUUCCAGGCUGUUCAUUAGGUGUUUCUCUCGUUCCAGGCUGUUCAUUAGGUGUUUCUCUCGUUCCAGGCUGUUCAUUAGGUGUUUCUCUCGUUCCAGACUGUUCAUCAGGUGUUUCUCUCGUUCCAGGCUGUUCAUCAGGUGUUUCUCUCGUUCCAGGCUGUUCAUCAGGUGUUCCCUCGUUCCAGGCUGUUCAUUAGGUGUUUCCCCUCGUUCCAGGCUGUUCAUUAGGUGUUUCUCUCGUUCCAGGCUGUUCAUCAGGUGUUUCUCUCGUUCCAGGCUGUUCAUCAGGUGUUUCCCCUCGUUCCAGCCUGUUCAUUAGGUGUUUCUCUCGUUCCAGGCUGUUCAUUAGGUGUUUCUCUCGUUCCAGGCUGUUCAUUAGGUGUUUCUCUCGUUCCAGGCUGUUCAUUAGGUGUUUCUCUCGUCCCAGGCUGUUCAUCAGGUGUUUCCUCUCGUUCCAGGCUGUUCAUCAGGUGUUUCCCCUCGUUCCAGGCUGUU